UUGGCAUAGCUGAAAGACUACCAGACUAAUAGUCCUUGGUCUGGUUGUAAAUCCUCUUUCUCUUUUUUUUAGGAAUAAUAGUGAUUGUGUAACAUACCUGUUAGUGUUGUUGUAGAUAACCAGUAGUAGUUGUUGGAUUUUGGUGUUUGUUUUUUCUUUUUAAAGAAGGAUAGGUGAAGGGGAAACAGGCCUAAAGUAGUCUGAUUAUUCAAAUCUAUUUUAACUGUGCCUGUUAGAUAUUAAAAGAAAUCUUGUAUCUCCUUUUAAGAUUUUGUGGCCAUUGAUGUUGGAGCCAGAAUCCUGACUUCUGUGUUCUGCUCACAGCAUUUCUCCUCUGCUGUAUCUUUGGGCUUUAAAAUAUAAUGGGUCAGGAGUGGGGCGGGUAAGAUGGACAGAAAACAAGUUCUUCUUGUAGGACCUCUUUUCUGUUUUGCUGUAAAAGCCAGGAGCCAUUAGUGUGUGGUUGACAAUGUUGGGACAGACAAACUAUGACCUUAAAUCACCUUAAAAGGUAAAUACAGGCAUUAGCCCAUGUAAAAAUGGAUUCUAUCCCACAAAUAAAUUUGCUGUUUGAUUGCUUUAACUUGGAAUACAUAUUGUAUGCAGACAAGUCCAGACAAAGAUCAGAUUUAUUUAACCUCAUUAUGGCUUUAUCAGGGUACUUCUGCAAAGGAAAAAAGUUUACAAAGCAUUUUUACGCAUUUGGCGUUCCGUGAGGUUCCCAUUUCCUUGAGGUUACAUUUACUAUUCCCAUUUCAUUUUCACAGUGUUGUAGUGGGAAAUGGCUGUGCAGAGUACUUUUCUUUGUUCCCAGCUAGUGUGUGUGUGUGUUCAUGUAUGUAUUGUGGGGCAUCAGUAAUAGAAAAAUUCAGUCAUUGUUGAGCGGGAGGAAUGCAUCCUAGUUAGUCCAGUGCACAUGUGUAGACUCUUUUGAGUGUAGGGACUGGAAAAUGGGUCAUGUGGAGAAGUCUCCUUUAUACAGAGUCAUGAUGUGAUCCGCUCUCCUAAUAGUGUGAGCUAAGUGGACAGGCAUUUUCAGAGUAGUUAGAUCUUGAAAUUGCUAAUUCUUCAACUAACCGAUUGCCAAGGCAAGGAAGGGGUUGGCUGGGGUCAGUGAAAAGGCAGUGUUCAGAGCACUUAAGGGCAAUGUAGGUUAACUUGGAGAAGAUGUUUUGUAAGUUGCAGAGUACUUUUUUUUUUUAAUGAAUAAAUUGAUUGUCUGAUUCCAGAGCCUUUGAGGUAUUUUUGUUGAAAAUAGAGUUCCAUAAGUGAGCCAGACACAAGUGAUAGUUUAGGAAGAGUUGGACAUUAUGAAACAAAAGAAACCAUGUGUUAUUGCUCUUUGUUGCCUGAACUAAAGAAGUAGUCUCUCUUUUCUCUAGUUGUGGGAGCAGAGGAGAUACAGAAAAGCACAGAAGUGAUCUCAGAUUCCCCAAGCACACAGUGGACAAGGAAAGGGCUGUUGGGGGGGAAAUACAAGGUUUGCCCCUGCUCCCCAGAAGUGCCGUGAGUACACACAUCUAAGCGAUCCAGGAAGAUAGCUUGGUUUUGUUUGCUUUUUGCUCUCAUUUGUGUUCAUGUGGGCUCAGAUAGACAAGAUUUCUUGAUGGUGUCUGUUUGAAAUUUCACAGCAGAUUUUCUUUUGUAAACUAUUGUAAAAACAACAAUAAACACAAAAUUUUUGAGAAAACUAAAAAUUUUGUUAUUGACAGAAUAUAGUUUUGAAGAAGAAGAUAGGAAAAAACUUUCAUUGCCAAAUGUACUUACAGAGGAAACCAGACCGACCCCCUGUUACAUUUUAGCAUUUCUGGUCAGGCUGUGUAGCAUUUUUGUUGUUUUUUAUUAUUUUUAGUUGAUGGACUUUCAGACUUAGACACUAAAAGCAGUAAACCAUGUUCAUUGAUCUGAGGUUUCCCCUGUAUUGUGAAGGCUGUUGAUUGCUUAUUUAAGAUUUGUUUCUUGGGAGACUUAGGUAAUUUUGGAGAAUCCAGGCUCUCAGCUCCACAUUGAAGAACGGACUUCCCUACAACAUGCUGGAAGUUCUGCCCAUUAAACAAGCUGUUUACAGUGUGUUGUGUAACAUUUAAAAGAUUGCAUUGGGCAUUGUAAAUCUGUGAGAAGUAACUAUUUCUCACUGAUCAGCAGUAUUAAAUAUCAGUGUUCCAUAGACAUCGGAAAACAUUCUCACCAGCGUCUCUUCCCCCUACCCUUUCCCUUUAAGGAUAACCAAGUAGUCCUGUCCUUGCUCCAGUGAGGACAGUGGGGUUAUCAAGUGUGCUAGAAUUCUUGUGCAGGUGUCUGUCAGAAUUGUAGCCUGGAUUGACCUGGGACUUUCAUUCCCAGCACCCUGAGCCCUCUCCCCACCCCACCCACCCCAUACACGGGCGUGUGCACACAACACAUGGGUGUCGGGGGGCAAGGACAUUUUCAAGUUACUUACAUCAGAGGAGUUUUUGAAUGAUAGUUCAGUUGGGUCUGUGUUAAAAAUCCCAGUGUAGCCAUUUACUGUAAGCCUUAGCAGGGGUCUUGCUCUUUCUGAUCUAGAGGACAUUGUGCUGACUCCAUCACAGUGUGCCUGUCCUUUGGUGGCUGUGAGGUGGCUCUGCUCCUCCUGCUUCACAGGCGGUUUAGAACUUUGAGCUGGGAGAACCUAUCAGGGUGGGAGUGGGGCUCAUGUGGCUCUUAGUGGAGCGGGCACAUCCCCAACCCUCAUGCCGUUGGAGCGUGCUGGCCUAGAAAUGAGGGGACGGAUGACAGGAGCUGCCAGGGCAGAUCUGGCAGGGUGGUACCUUUGGAGGGCCUCCCACUGAUGACCCCUUCUUGUUUCUUCAUCUUCUCCUCCAGAAGUUAUGCAUUUAGUUCAGUAACACUGCACCAUUUCAAAAUGAAUUAGAUGCAUUUUCCUACCUCACCAUGUUUCCUGAUCUGAGAAAAACUGUGGAAUUUGUUGGGGCAACUAGUUGGAAAAAAACACUCUAAUUAAAAUAAUGAUUGUCAACUUGUUGAUGAGGGUUUUUUUGUGGGCAAGGGGCAAGUGGUGAUGGAAGAGUUACUGGGUUGUUACUUGAGGACAUUGAGAAUGUACUUCUGAAACAACACAGGUGCCUUUAGCAGACAUGCCAUAUUUCUUGGUAAUCUGAUCUCAGUUAGCCUUGCUGCUGCUGUUGUGUCCGACUCCAUGUGACCCCAUAGACGGCAGCCCACCAAGCUCCCCUGUCCCUGGGAUUCUCCAGGCAAGAACACUGGAGUGGGUUGCCAUUCCCUUCUCCAAUGCAUGAAAGUGAAAAGUGAAAGUGAAGUCGCUCAGUCGUGUCCGAUUCUCAGCGACCCCAUGGACUGCAGCCCACCAGUCCCCUCCAUCCAUGGGAUUUUCCAGGCAAGAGGACUGGAGUGGGGUGCCAUUGCCUUCUCCUAGUUAGCCUUGGGUCCUUUUCAUUUGUGAAGUUUCGGUUUGGUUGCACAUUAGAGGGGAGGAACACUUGUUUCACCGUUCUGGUCAGGCAUUCAUUUCCUUAGGGGCAUGUGAGGACAUCCUUAUGGUUUUGUGUGAGUGCGCGCGUGUAGAUCGUGUCUUUUGGGUACCGGAUUGUGGCACAUGGGCUGAAGCAUUCUGAGGGGUUGCCUGCUGAGGUGUUAGGGUGGUCGUCCGUGGGAGGAGCGCCAGCCAGGCCCCGGGCCUGUCACCUGUGUCCGGCGUGCCUUUGGCCUGGGCGCGCCGCCAGGGAGCGGGGUCCAGGUGCUGGGGAGCUGCUCUCAGGCGCACGAGGUGCCUGGCGUAAAGGGCUGUUUGUGAGACAAGGGUGACUUCCUUUCAUCUCUGCCUGUCCCUAGCUCUCUGCUCUGGCAGUUCCAGCUGCCAACCAUCCUAGGCACCACUUCUGAUGUCCAUGGUUUCAGGCUCUCUGCUCUGAUUUCUCAUUUCCAUGUUCUGUCCAUAACCCCCCAGGACCUGGCAUCCCUCCCCGGUCUCAGAAGACCGUGCCUCCGCCAGUGCUGCUGUUGACUGUCUGCUGUCUCCCCUCUGCCCCGUGGCUGGCACUGCGGUCUGGCCUGCCUUCCGUCCUCCUCGCUCUACAGCACACGCGACUUCAGCCUCCCUUUCCUGUGGAAGUUUCCUCCAGCCGUACUGACCCCUCUGUAGUGGCAGGACCAUCCUUUAUCUCACUGCGACAUUUCUCCAAAAAAGUUCUUCUUGGCCACCCCUAGGUUAUUCCUCUGACAUCCUGUCGUCCCUUCACUUUCACAGUCCCAAUCUCAUUGGGACUGGUCUCCUAAAAAUCAGCAGUGACCUCCUGAUCACCAGAGCCUGGGCUCUUUUCUCAGUCCUUAUCUUACUUUGUCUUUCUCUGCAGCGUUUGUUUAUUCUUCAUUCAACCAGGAGGUAAUUUUAUUGGGUACCUGGUACUGUGCUGAAUGCCAUAGUGCAAAGAUGAUUAAGAUGCAGUCGUGCCAUUCAGGAGUGUACAUUUGAUUGCUAGUUACAUAGUGGUGUGGUAAGUAACAUUGUAGAACUUCACAGGAUGUGCCUGGAGUGAGACAGGCCCCCCGUAACUCAAAUUGGGCAGGCCUGGUGGACGAGGCUCGGGGUUCCUCGGGGCGAGGGUUUGGUGCGCCAUGGAGUGUCUGUUGAAGGUGGCCUUGGGCUGCUGUCCCGUUGUCCUCUCGUCAUUCUGUGUCGUGAGCAUACAUACUAGUUUAAUUGAAAUUCUCCACCACGGUAGCUUUUUGUAUGUAUUUAGUUUAACUCUGAUUAAGUUAUUUCAUCUUGAGUAUUGGUUAGUGUAAGACAGUUUUGUUUUGUAUUCUUACUCUGAUUUAAGCUGUCUGGUAAUCCCUGUAGACAACUGAUCUGAUCUGUUUGUGUCCCUGGUGAGUACUUGUGAAAUGGCUUGUAGUGGUGAUUAUCUUCUCUCUUAAGUAUUAACAGAUAUGCUUCCUCUUUGAAGGAGUAGAAUAGACUGCUGCUGCCUUAAGUAAGCGUCUGACUCUUUGUGACCCUGUGGAUUGUAGUAGCCCGCCAGGCUCCUCUGUCCAUGGAAUUUCCCAGGCACUGCACAUCUGUGUUUGAAUCCCUCGCUCGGUGGCAGAUGCAUGCGUCCUACCUUGGGCUUCCCUUGUGGCUCAGCUGGUAUAAAGAAUCCGCCUGCAAAGUGGGAGACCUGGGUUCUAUCCUGGGUUAAGAAGAUCCCAUGGAGAAGUGAAAGGCUACCCACUCCGGUAUUCUGGCCUGGAGAAUUCCAUGGACUGUCUCGUCCUUGGGGUCGCAAAGAGUUGGACAUGA